GUGGGAGGCUUUGAAGUGUGGACGCCAGUCUGCAUGGAGCCGACCUUGAAAUACCACCCUUUAAUGUUUGAUGUUCUAACGUUGACCCGUAAUCCGGGUUGCGGACAGUGUCUGGUGGGUAGUUUGACUGGGGCGGUCUCCUCCUAAAGAGUAACGGAGGAGCACGAAGGUUGGCUAAUCCUGGUCGGACAUCAGGAGGUUAGUGCAAUGGCAUAAGCCAGCUUGACUGCGAGCGUGACGGCGCGAGCAGGUGCGAAAGCAGGUCAUAGUGAUCCGGUGGUUCUGAAUGGAAGGGCCAUCGCUCAACGGAUAAAAGGUACUCCGGGGAUAACAGGCUGAUACCGCCCAAGAGUUCAUAUCGACGGCGGUGUUUGGCACCUCGAUGUCGGCUCAUCACAUCCUGGGGCUGAAGUAGGUCCCAAGGGUAUGGCUGUUCGCCAUUUAAAGUGGUACGCGAGCUGGGUUUAGAACGUCGUGAGACAGUUCGGUCCCUAUCUGCCGUGGGCGCUGGAGAACUGAGGGGGGCUGCUCCUAGUACGAGAGGACCGGAGUGGACGCAUCACUGGUGUUCGGGUUGUCAUGCCAAUGGCACUGCCCGGUAGCUAAAUGCGGAAGAGAUAAGUGCUGAAAGCAUCUAAGCACGAAACUUGCC
rnacentral:rRNA from 1 species